rnacentral:rRNA from 1 species
AUGAACGCUAGCUACAGGCUUAACACAUGCAAGUCGAGGGGCAUCAGGGUGUAGCAAUACACCGCUGGCGACCGGCGCACGGGUGAGUAACACGUAUCCAACCUGCCCUUUACUCGGGGAUAGCCUUUCGAAAGAAAGAUUAAUACCCGAUGGUAUAACAUGACCUCCUGGUUUUGUUAUUAAAGAAUUUCGGUAGAGGAUGGGGAUGCGUUCCAUUAGGCAGUUGGCGGGGUAACGGCCCACCAAACCUUCGAUGGAUAGGGGUUCUGAGAGGAAGGUCCCCCACAUUGGAACUGAGACACGGUCCAAACUCCUACGGGAGGCAGCAGUGAGGAAUAUUGGUCAAUGGGCGAGAGCCUGAACCAGCCAAGUAGCGUGAAGGAUGACCGCCCUAUGGGUUGUAAACUUCUUUUAUAUGGGAAUAAAGGGUGCCACGUGUGGCAUUUUGUAUGUACCAUAUGAAUAAGGAUCGGCUAACUCCGUGCCAGCAGCCGCGGUAAUACGGAGGAUCCGAGCGUUAUCCGGAUUUAUUGGGUUUAAAGGGAGCGUAGGUGGACAUGUAAGUCAGUUGUGAAAGUUUGCGGCUCAACCGUAAAAUUGCAGUUGAUACUGCGUGUCUUGAGUACAGUAGAGGUGGGCGGAAUUCGUGGUGUAGCGGUGAAAUGCUUAGAUAUCACGAAGAACUCCGAUUGCGAAGGCAGCUCACUGGACUGCAACUGACACUGAUGCUCGAAAGUGUGGGUAUCAAACAGGAUUAGAUACCCUGGUAGUCCACACAGUAAACGAUGAAUACUCGCUGUUUGCGAUAUACAGUAAGCGGCCAAGCGAAAGCAUUAAGUAUUCCACCUGGGGAGUACGCCGGCAACGGUGAAACUCAAAGGAAUUGACGGGGGCCCGCACAAGCGGAGGAACAUGUGGUUUAAUUCGAUGAUACGCGAGGAACCUUACCCGGGCUUAAAUUGCAAAUGAAUAUGCCGGAAACGGCAUAGCCGCAAGGCAUUUGUGAAGGUGCUGCAUGGUUGUCGUCAGCUUGUGCCGUGAGGUGUCGGCUUAAGUGCCAUAACGAGCGCAACCCUUAUCUUCAGUUACUAACAGGUUAUGCUGAGGACUCUGGAGAGACUGCCGUCGUAAGAUGUGAGGAAGGUGGGGAUGACGUCAAAUCAGCACGGCCCUUACGUCCGGGGCUACACACGUGUUACAAUGGGGGGUACAGAAGGCCGCUACACAGCGAUGUGAUGCCAAUCCCUAAAGCCCCUCUCAGUUCGGAUCGAAGUCUGCAACCCGACUUCGUGAAGCUGGAUUCGCUAGUAAUCGCGCAUCAGCCACGGCGCGGUGAAUACGUUCCCGGGCCUUGUACACACCGCCCGUCAAGCCAUGGGAGCCGGGGGUACCUGAAGUACGUAACCGCAAGGAGCGUCCUAGGGUAAAACUGGUGACUGGGGCU